GCCGGUGAGGUGCUCGUCGUCUAUACAUACCCUGUAGAACCGAAUGUGUGUGCAGCUGACUUGAUCACAGAUUGGGUUCUAGGGGAGUCUAUGGGCGCUGAAUAAUCAUCGAUGAACGGC
rnacentral:pre_miRNA from 1 species